AAAAUUUCAACAAGACCUUAAUUCCCAAAACUUUGUUGACCCAAAAAUAGUUGAUACCAAAGAUUAUAAAAAAUCUUCUUUACACCUUUUGAAGGAUCUUCAAGUGGACUUAGUAGACUUUGUAUACUCAGACUCAAACCAUAGAUGACCCACUCGUUAAAAUCAUUCAACAUACAUUUAAACAUUUUUAUAAUCCAACUACCAAUAUUUGGAGGAAAUAUCAUGCUACUCGCUUAAAUUUAGCGUCAGCAAAAAAUAAAGUCUCUCAAAAUAUAGGAAGGGUGCUAACUACUCCAUCACGAUUGGAAACAAUUGAGCUAGAUGGGAAUUGUUUUUACCGUAUGGAGAUAACAGGAAAACAAGACUCCUAUGGUUUGAUUAGAUCACAUAUGAUCUUGCUUAUGCUGC